GCCUGGGUAGCUCAAUCGGUAGAGCGUGUGACUCUUAUUCGCCUCGAAUAAAUCUCAAGGUCGCGGGUUCGAGCCCCGCCUCGGGCU